CGGAUUGUAGGCUGAAACUCGCCUACAUGAAGCUGGAGUUACUAGUAAUCGCAGAUCAGAAUGCUGCGGUGAAUGCGUUCCCGGGUCUUGUACACACCGCCCGUCACACCACGGGAGUUGGAGACGCCCGAAGCCGACUAUCUAACCUUUUGGAAGAAGUCGUCGAAGGUGGAAUCAAUAACUGGGGUGAAGUCGUAACAAGGUAGCCGUAUCGGAAGGUGCGGCUGGAUCACCUCCUUUCUAAGGAGA
rnacentral:rRNA from 1 species